rnacentral:lncRNA from 1 species
UACAAACACACUCAAACACAUACCUUGACGUGAUUGGUCCAUGCCGGCACACCUGAUGCUCACAGAGAAGAAUAUUUGGAUCUGUGCUGCUCUUCAUAUAGUACUGGACAUAUCAUUUACUGAGAAAUAAAGAGCAGCACCAUUUGCUUCUGGCUUCCUCUUCAACACAUCAUACAUACAACCUGAUGGGAGCCAGAUGGGAAAUGUCAUUCAAACACAUACGCAUGCACGUGAGGGGUUAGAGAGAAGAACAGUCAUCGGUGGAUAGAGAUUGCCGUUGAACUACAGACCGUAGAUAACCUUGGGCUAGCAGAGACUACUAUGGAGUCAGCACAGAAUAAAGCUCAACCAACCUCUCCUCAUAAACAGACAGUGAAGAACAGGUCCAAGUCAACAGAUGAGAUUCAACAAGCCAAAAAGGCUUUUCACACGACACAGAAAUCGUUGCCAGGGAAGCCGGAGACUGAGAAUAAGGAGCCCCCAGAGAGUCCAUCCUCAUCAGAAGAACUGAAAUGAAGGGGCAGACAGCGCCAGGCAGAGAGUCAGAGUCAUGGGCUACAUCAAUCAUUCCUCUGGAAAUCUAUUCAGUUUUCUGCAGUUUGUAUUCUCAUAACGAAAAAAGGCUGUACAUUUUUUGUAAACGUCUUAUGAAUGUGGUUGUUUACUAAAUAAGAAAAAGUGUAAAAUGCAUUGUUUGUGAGAAUAUAAUGUUCAAAGAAUGACGAGAGACUUACUCUACAAAACACAGACACUUAACAGAAAGCUGUAAUUCAGUGAGUGGAAAACAUGUGCAUGUGCCAGUUGGGAUGUGUGUAAGUAUGAGGUAUAGUGAAUUUGUUAUGUACACUCUCCUAAAACAUUUAGUUUUUUGGAACUGAUGUCAGAAUUAAUGUCUGUAUGCCACUUUGAAAAUGUGAAGCAAUUGAACGUGUAAAUAAAACUUGUGUAUGUCAAAAAAAUGGGUUAUUUCAAUCCCAAUACCACA